UUCACUUGAUGGCUGAACCUAAAAUGACAGGCAUGUCGACCACGACUAGUGCACGCAAGAGAAGGACCUGCAGCGAGCCAGUAUGUUCUGCUACAUGCUGUUAUCUGAUCUCUACAUUGCGUAAUACAUGUUUGAAUAGUUAAUUGUUGUAACUAUUUUUGCAAUAUUACCAGAAUGCAGUUUUAGUGAAGCAGUCAUCAUUAGAAGAUAGUCGCCAAAGCGACCCUGUGCAACAUUAUGAUAAUGCAGUUGUAAUGAAGAAGUCCUUAGUAGAAGAUAGAGCGCAAAAAAGGUUCCGGCGUGAGCCUAUGCAACGAUAUAAUAAUGCAGUUCUGAUGAAGCAAUCUUCAUUAGAAGAGAGGCCCACAAAAAGUUCUGAUCUUUGUUCUGAUGCAUCCUCUCAUAGCCGUCAACCUAGACCAUUCUUUUCAUCAAACAGUGAACAUCUCAAGGCUGUACUUUAUAAAAGACAUGGUAUUGCUGCUUUAAGGUCUGUAGCUGAUAUGUUGACCAAGAGUACACAAGAUUCAAUCAAGGCGAUUGCCAAAUGUCAACAUGUUAUUGAUGAUGCUAAUAGAAGUCCUCAAUGAUUCUAUGUAA